GAUCCUGGCUCAGGAUGAACGCUAGCUACAGGCUUAACACAUGCAAGUCGAGGGGCAGCAUGAACUUAGCUUGCUAAGUUUGAUGGCGACCGGCGCACGGGUGAGUAACACGUAUCCAACCUGCCGAUGACUCGGGGAUAGCCUUUCGAAAGAAAGAUUAAUACCCGAUGGCAUAAUUCUUCCGCAUGGUAGAAUUAUUAAAGAAUUUCGGUCAUCGAUGGGGAUGCGUUCCGUUAGGUUG
rnacentral:rRNA from 1 species